rnacentral:tRNA from 2 species
AGUCCCGUAGCUCAGCUGGUUAGAGCGCUACACUGAUAAUGUAGAGGUCCCCAGUUCAACUCUGGGCGGGACUA